AAUGGCCCAGUCGGUGUCUUCUUAAUUAAAAACAUUUCAUUUGAAUUCAAAAUACAAAACAUACUACACCAAUGUGGUUUGAAUAGAACAAAAUGUCGCUGUUUAAUGUUUAUCCCAUAAACGUAUGAAAAAAUCAUCCACUGUGUGAAAAGAAAUAACGCAAUUUAAUACAAUGUCAUCUUCCAGUUAAUCAGCUAUAAUAGUAAAAGCCAAGCGAGAAAAACAAAAUGGCUCAGUGUCUUUCAUUUGAAUGCAGAAUACCAAAGAAGUUAUAACUACUUGGCUUGAAUAGUACUUAAUGUCGCGGUCCAAUAUUCAUCUCAUAAAUGUACAGAAAAAUCAUCCCCGGUGGCAGUGUAUCACAACACAACACAAGCUUAGCUCUGUGGUUCGUGUCUACAUAAACAAAUCCAGUUGUUUGAAAAUGUAAUAAAAAAUGUUUUAUUCAAAAACAGAAAAGACAUAACAGAUAUAGUUGGAGUAUAACACAGUGUCACUAUUAAAUGUUAAUGUUGUUUAGUCUAUCGGUCCAUGCAAAAUUGGUUCAAUAAGUCUUCCAAAAAAAAGAAGCAUUUCAUUUGAUUUCAAAGAACAAAAUAAAUUAUAUGGGCAUUGCUUAUACAGAACGAGACGUCACUGUUUAAUGUAUAUCUCAUAAACAGAAAAAUAUGGAAAUAUAUAUUGUAUAAAUAUGUAAAAAUCUUAAUACUGUACAAGACAAAUUGGCCAAACAAAAUGGCCCAGUCGGUGUCUUCUUA